UAGCUGAAUGUUUACUGUGCCAGGAAUGC
rnacentral:sRNA from 1 species